GACGAACGCUGGCGGCGUGCUUAACACAUGCAAGUCGAACGGGCCUGCCUGGCUUUGGUUGGGUGGGUGAGUGGCGAACGGGUGAGUAACACGUGAGUAACCUGCCCUCUUCUCUUGGAUAACUGCUUGAAAGGGCGGCUAAUACGGGAUGUUCUGGCUGCCUCGCAUGGGGUGGUUUGGAAAGAUUCGGCCUGGUUUUGGUUGUUUUGGUGGGGGAUGGGCUCGCGGCUUAUCAGCUUGUUGGUGGGGUGAUGGCCUACCAAGGCGGUGACGGGUAGCCGGCCUGAGAGGGUGGACGGUCACACUGGGACUGAGACACGGCCCAGACUCCUCGGGAGGCAGCAGUGGGGGAUUUUGCACAAUGGGCGCAAGCCUGAUGCAGCGACGCCGCGUGAGGGAUGGAGGCCUUCGGGUUGUGAACCUCUGUCGCCGGUGAUGUAGGC
rnacentral:rRNA from 1 species